rnacentral:misc_RNA from 1 species
GUUGGUGAACCGGCGGAGGGAUCAUUAAAGAGUCUAACAACUCCAACCCCUGUGAACCUUACCUUUACUGUUGCUUCGGCGGACGAUGGCCCCCCGGGGCCGGAGGCCGCCGGAGGUAUCAAACUCUGAAUCUUUGGUGUAUCUCUGAGGAAAAAAACAAAUAAUUAAAACUUUCAACAACGGAUCUCUUGGUUCUGGCAUCGAUGAAGAACGCAGCAUCUGACUGACUCGACAGCUGACAAUAUCGUAU